rnacentral:rRNA from 1 species
GACGAACGCUGGCGGCGUGCUUAACACAUGCAAGUCGAACGAUGAAGCCGGAGCUUGCUCUGGUGAAUUAGUGGCGAACGGGUGAGUAACACGUGAGUAACCUGCCCUUGACUCUGGGAUAACUGCGGGAAACUGUAGCUAAUACCGGAUACGACCCUCGGAGGCAUCUCCUGGGGGUGGAAAGAAUUUCGGUCAAGGAUGGACUCGCGGCCUAUCAGCUAGUUGGUGAGGUAAAGGCUCACCAAGGCGACGACGGGUAGCCGGCCUGAGAGGGUGACCGGCCAAACUGGGACUGAGACACGGCCCAGACUCCUACGGGAGGCAGCAGUGGGGAAUAUUGCACAAUGGGCGCGAGCCUGAUGCAGCAACGCCGCGUGAGGGAUGACGGCCUUCGGGUUGUAAACCUCUUUUAGCAGGGAAGAAGCGAAAGUGACGGUACCUGCAGAAAAAGCACCGGCUAACUACGUGCCAGCCGCCGCAGUAA